CCAGGCUCGCCAACUGCGUCCUGCCCGUUGGGCUGCAGGCGGCUAAAUCAAUAAACGGAAUCUAAGCAUGUAGAGCCGAAGGCAGAGUACUGGCGGACGCGGGUUCAACUCCCGCCGCCUCCACCA
rnacentral:tmRNA from 1 species